AGAAAAGUGACCGCCGCCCCGCGCAGGGGCGACGCUAAUAGACCGACACGAUCACAGGUACUUCACGCCAACCGCGAUCUCCCC
rnacentral:sRNA from 1 species